AUGCUUUCGCAAGUAAUUGAAAGAGGUUGUUUCCAGUUUCCAGUUUAUCGAGGAGGCUAUUCAGUUUAUUAAGGAGGCCAGUUUUGGCGCAUGCGUAUCUUACCUAGUUGGCAGUCCCUUCUAGGUAAUAGUCUGGUUGGCAGUCCCUUCCAGACUACAGCUCGGUUGGCAGUCCCAUCCGAUGCGUCACCUGGUUGGCAGUCCCUUCCAGAUGACAUGAGGUAGUUAGUCGGCAGUCCCGUCUACUACCUGUGGUUAGUCGGCAGUCCCGUCUACUACUUGUGGCUAGUUGGCAGUCCCUUCUCUCCACCGCCUCCUAUCCCGGUUGGCAGUCCCUUCCGAUGCGUCAUCUGGGUGGCAGUCCCUCCUAGAUGGCAUGAGAUGACUAGACAGCAGUCCUUUCUAGUCAUCAAACGAGCCUCAUGAAAAGGAUGUUUUUAUAAGGAUUGAGGAUGCGAUUUUAAGAGGUUUCAAGAUGUUCUUGUUAUGUGAUUGAGAUUUCAGUAAAGAGGAUGAUUAAGAGUGUUUUCAAGAUUGUUACUGCAUGCGAGGUUUUAGAGAAUAACUUGGGAAAGCAUUAAGUUUUACUUAUUCAUUUGAAAUUACUUAUUUUUCGUCCACUCACUCUAACGGAUUUUAAAUGUUUUCCCCUGGGCCCUUCGGUUUUAAAUGCCCAGUUUGCAGGCCAGUUUAGCUUGAGGUCGAGCGUACUUGGGGUUGAGGCAUAGCUGUCAUAGCUUCCGCAUUAUAAAAGUAUUGGUCGUUUAUCUUGUAUUCUACUUUCUUGUACGCCUGAGAAAUAGAUUGCUCUGAUAUCUCUUGAGAUUAAUAUUCUUAAGUUUCAGAAUUGUUUUGUGAUAUGAGAGAUGUUGUGAUAUAGGG
rnacentral:lncRNA from 1 species